rnacentral:rRNA from 1 species
AUGGGCUCGAGGCCGCGGUUGUGGCCGGAGGAGAUCCGGUGGUGCCUCGGUGGUAGCGGCAGCGAGGGCGUGGCACUGGCUAUAUGGGGCACUCCAUGCGGGAUCCUUCCCGAGAGCGAGGGGCUGCUUAGGCUCUUCGGCUGGCCCCGCCGCUCAUGGAGCCGCCCGCCUCCGAGUCCUUGGUGGCACUCCCCCUGCAUCACUUUCGGCAGCGGCGGGGACGGCGGGGACGGCGGGUCGCUGCCUGCUGGCGGUGAUGUGGCGUACCUCGAUGACGGGCCGACGAGGACCCGAGCCGCCAUGCCAUUCAAGCCCUCUUCGGCUGCUCCGACCGCCUCGACCAAGCGGUCAUGGUCGCGGCGGCCGCCGACCAGGUGA